rnacentral:rRNA from 1 species
GUCUUAUUGAUAAUUAAUUUUAAGUCUUGCCUGCCCCCUGUUUAAAUAAAUGGCCGCAGUAUUUUGACUGUGCUAAGGUAGCAUAAUCAUUAGUUUUUUAAUUAAAAGCUAGAAUGAAUGGUAGUAUGAAAAAAUAACUGUCUCUUUUAUAUAAUUAAAAUUUUAUUUUUAAGUAAAAAAGCUUAAAUAAAGUUGAAAGACGAGAAGACCCUAUAGAAUUUGAUUUAAGUUAAUUUUUGAUUUAUUAGUAAUUAAGAUUUUUUAAAUUAGUUUAUAUUUAAUUGGGGUGAUUAGAAAAUUUAGUAAUCUUUUCUUUAUAUUACCAUUAAUAUAUGAUUAUAUGAUUCAUUUUAAUGAUUAAAGAAUAAAUUACCUUAGGGAUAACAGCGUAAUCUUUUUUUUAAGUUCAAAUUAAAAAUAAGGAUUGCGACCUCGAUGUUGGAUUAAAUUUAUUUUUUGGUGUAGGAGCUAAAAUAUUAAGUCUGUUCGACUUUUAAAAUUUUACA